AUUGAACGCUGGCGGCAGGCCUAACACAUGCAAGUCGAACGGUAACAGGAAACAGCUUGCUGUUUCGCUGACGAGUGGCGGACGGGUGAGUAAUGUCUGGGAAACUGCCUGAUGGAGGGGGAUAACUACGGGAAACGGUAGCUAAUACCGCAUAACGUCGCAAGACCAAAGAGGGGGACCUUCGGGCCUCUGGCCAUCGGAUGUUCCCGGAUGGGAGUAGCAAGUAGGUGGGGUAACGGCUCACCUAGGCGACGAUCCCUAGCUGGUCUGAGAGGAUGACCAGCCACACUGGAACUGAGACACGGUCCAGACUCCUACGGGAGGCAGCAGUGGGGAAUAUUGCACAAUGGGCGCAAGCCUGAUGCAGCCAUGCCGCGUGUAUGAAGAAGGCCUUCGGGUUGUAAAGUACUUUCAGCGGGGAGGAAGGGAGUAAAGUUAAUACCUUUGCUCAUUGACGUUACCCGCAGAAGAAGCACCGGCUAACUCCGUGCCAGCCGCCGCAGUAA
rnacentral:rRNA from 1 species